AUUGAUUAUAAAUAUAUGAUAUUAUUUUAUUUGAUUUUAAAUGUAUAGAAACUACGAGUUGUAUAUGUUUUGUUGAUAUUAUUUAUAUUGUUUAGUGUUUAAAAUUAUAUACUUGUAUUUUGAUUGUUAAUUUUAGAGUUUCACAUGUAGUAUACCAUCUUGUAUUAAUAUUGAUUUAAACCCGUCAAUUGUAGGAUUUUUCAGCUUGUAUUAAAAAUUGAAUCACAUCAUACACAUUAAAAAAUCUAAUAUGUUAUUAAUUAUUGUAGUAUAUAAGAUUAUAAAUUUUAAAAUAAUAUGUAUGAAAUUGAAUAUAAAUAUUCAAAUUAUGACACAGUACUCAGUAAUUUUUUUUCUUAAAUCUACUUUUGACCCGUUAUAGUAUUUUUUUCAUGUACUGAACAAUUUAUAUUCGUUUUUAAAAAUUCAAAUUGUGGCAUAUGCGAAAAAACUCUAAUUAUUUUUUUAUAACGAUGAUAUUAUUUUUUCGCAAAAAUAGAAUCAUAUAAAGAUGAGAGGUGAAUUAUAAUAAUUAAUAAAAAAUUAAUA
rnacentral:sRNA from 1 species